AGUCCUGCGGCCUGAAAAACCACCGUUGUUCAUCAACUACAAAAAC
rnacentral:tRNA from 2 species